rnacentral:rRNA from 1 species
GACGAAACGCUGGCGGCGUGCUUGACACAUGCAAGUCGAGCGGUAAGGCCCUUUCGGGGGUACACGAGCGGCGAACGGGUGAGUAAACACGUGGGUGACCUGCCCUCAGCUCUGGGAUAAAGCCUGGGAAAACCGGGUCUAAAUACUGGAUAUGACUCCAUGACGCAUGUUGUGGGGUGGAAAAGCCUUGUGCGGCUGAGGAUGGGCCCGCGGCCUAUCAGCUUGUUGGUGGGGUGAUGGCCUACCAAAGGCGACGACGGGUAGCCGGCCUGAGAGGGCGACCGGCCACACU